CCAGUGCGGCUCCAGCAGAAUGGAGAAACAAAGGCUCAGGCAGGUGGAGCCAUUGCUCAAGGCCAAAAUGCAGUUUACAGUUAAGGAAGCUGAGAGGCCAG